CAGUGGAGAAUUGGAAGAAGUAUUUGAUCCAAAACUUUCAGCUCGUGUUUGGCAGUUGAUAACUGUGAAAAAUAGUGGGUGGGUUACACAGUCAGUAUGGCUGCUGCAAAUGCUGGAUGGAUUGACCAUACGCAGCCUGGCCCUAUUGACACGUCGGUGUUAAAGUUGCAGCCCACCCAUCGGUCAGAAGCUAUUUGGAAUGGCCAGGAUCCAGGGGCCCUUACUUGCCGUGGCCGUACUGAAGAGUUCUCCAACUGAGAGCCAAUGGUGGACGACCGAGUCGUUGACAUCAUUAAGGCAUUGGGCUUGGAGGGACUGCUGAGGCAACUGGGUAGAGAGCUUGACCAUGGCCUAAUAAUAGCCUUCGUGGAGCGAUGGCGGCCUGAGACUCACACCUUCCACAUGCCACAUGGUGAGAUCACCAUCACAUUGCAGGAUGUGGAGGUGAUUCUUGGGCUUCCUGUUGAUGGUAA